CCCCAAAGCUUGAAUGCUGGGAGCGUGAAACCGCCCCCGGGCGCCCAGAGGAUGUGGCUGCGGCCGAUUAGGUAGACGGUGGGGUAACGGCCCCCACCGGUGCCAGUAUCGGUACGGGUUGUGAGAGCAAGAGCCCGGAGACGGUAUCUGAGACAAGAUACCGGGCCCUACGGGGCGCAGCAGGCGCGAAACCUUUACACUGCACGCCAGUGCGAUAAGGGGACUCCAAGUGCGAGGGCAUAUCGUCCUCGCUUUUCACCACCGUAAGGAGGUGGUAGAAUAAGUGCUGGGCAAGACCGGUGCCAGCCGCCGCGGUAAUACCGGCAGCACAAGUGAUGACCGCUAUUAUUGGGCCUAAAGCGUCCGUAGCUGGCCGUCCAAGUCCAUCGGGAAAUCCGCGCGCUUAACGCGCGGGCGUCCGGUGGAAACUGGAUGGCUCGGGACCGGAAGACCUAGGGGGUACGUCUGGGGUAGGAGUGAAAUCCCGUAAUCCUGGACGGACCACCGGUGGCGAAAGCGCCCUAGGAGGACGGAUCCGACGGUGAGGGACGAAAGCUCGGGUCACGAACCGGAUUAGAUACCCGGGUAGUCCGAGCUGUAAACGAUGUCUGCUAGGUGUGUCACAGGCUACGAGCCUGUGAUGUGCCGUAGGGAAGCCGUGAAGCAGACCGCCUGGGAAGUACGUCCGCAAGGAUGAAAU
rnacentral:rRNA from 1 species